rnacentral:lncRNA from 1 species
CGUCUCUCGGGCUGACAGCAGAAGAGAGUCCCUGAGCCCAGCCCAGCACGGACGGACUGCGGCGGGACGCCAGCCCCAGGAGGACAAGCGCUGCGGCGGGAGCCGUCCCUGUGUGCAGCCGGGGAAGCCACGUCGCCCCCGCCCGCGCCGUGAGGGGUGGAUGUGCGCUGGGCAUGACUCCCCGGCAGGCGGCGGGUCGGGACCGAUCUCACGUGGCUUUGGCUGUGCGUGUUCCUGAGUGGACAUCACCUCGCCUCCCCGCUGGAGCCGCGUCAUCCGGCGCUCGCUUAAAGCUAACGUUCCCACGGGAGGGGAUCGCUCUUGCUUCUCAGCCGAGAAAAUACCAUCUCUACUCCCUGGCCUCCAGACCCCACGUCCUCCCUUCCUGGGGUCAGUGGACCUAACUGUGCGGAUGGUUUUCCAGUCGUAAACCCCGGGCACCCUGCCCCUGCCCCUGCCCCGUGCCAGGCAGGGCUCCCGUUCCCGAUCUGGUGAACAGAAGGGGAAGCCGGGCUUCUGGGCGCGGUCCCUGCUCCGCCUGCCCAGCCCGCGGUUCCCCAGCACCGAAGAAAGACCUCCAGGGCCACCCUGGCCAAAAUGCCACGGGUGGCGUAACUUAGCAGCUCGGGAGCUUUGAAACCUGAACCCCAAACCCUGCGUGGCUCAGGGGGCAGAAGGGCUCAGCCUCCCAUGGCCUGACAUAGUGGCGAUGCCCAUUUGUGUCUGUUCUCCGUACGGCGGCGAAGGAGAUGUUCACGGACCCUUGUUCUGUCGUUCUGGAAGUACCUCCCCGUCUGCUGGUUUUGUCUUGUUUCUAACACGUCCCCAGAGGUGGAUUACAACACGUCCAACCUUUCCCGGUGACCGCGGGGACACGCAGGAUUUCUCCCACUCUCCUCUCGACAUGCUGCGCCUCCCGCUGCAAAUGGACACCCCUUUUGCCACCCGUCUGUGGCAGGGAGCAGAAUUCCGGGGACUACGGUCUUGGAGCUUCUCAGAUGGACCGUCCACCUCCUCACCGGCACUCGCGGUGCCAAAGGGAGCCCGCGCGGGUGGCCGCCGGCCCUGCAGACACAACACGGCCACACCGGGUCCCCGAGCAUGGAAGUGA